GUAGGGUGCAAGCGUUGUCCGGAAUUACUGGGCGUAAAGAGUUCGUAGGCGGUUUGUCGCGUCGUUUGUGAAAACCAGCAGCUCAACUGCUGGCUUGCAGGCGAUACGGGCAGACUUGAGUACUGCAGGGGAGACUGGAAUUCCUGGUGUAGCGGUGAAAUGCGCAGAUAUCAGGAGGAACACCGGUGGCGAAGGCGGGUCUCUGGGCAGUGACUGACGCUGAGGAACGAAAGCGUGGGUAGCGAACAGGAUUAGAUACCCUGGUAGUCCACGCCGUAAACNNUNUUCNCUAGGUGNGGGUUCCUUCCACGGAAUCNNAACCAAACCUNACGCAUUAAGCGCCCCGCCUGGGGAGU
rnacentral:rRNA from 1 species